rnacentral:rRNA from 1 species
AUUGAACGCUGGCGGCAUGCCUUACACAUGCAAGUCGAACGGCAGCACGGGAGCUUGCUCCUGGUGGCGAGUGGCGAACGGGUGAGUAAUACAUCGGAACGUACCCAGUAGUGGGGGAUAACGCACCGAAAGGUGCGCUAAUACCGCAUACGACCUAAGGGUGAAAGCGGGGGACCGUAAGGCCUCGCGCUAUUGGAGCGGCCGAUGUCUGAUUAGCUAGUUGGCGGGGUAAAGGCCCACCAAGGCGACGAUCAGUAGCUGGUCUGAGAGGACGAUCAGCCACACUGGGACUGAGACACGGCCCAGACUCCUACGGGAGGCAGCAGUGGGGAAUUUUGGACAAUGGGGGCAACCCUGAUCCAGCAAUGCCGCGUGUGCGAAGAAGGCCUUCGGGUUGUAAAGCACUUUUGUCAGGGAAGAAAUCUUUUGGGCUAAUACCCCGGAAGGAUGACGGUACCUGAAGAAUAAGCACCGGCUAACUACGUGCCAGCCGCCGCUGUAA